AUUGAACGCUGGCGGCAGGCCUAACACAUGCAAGUCGAACGGUAACAGGAAGACGCUUGCUUCUUUGCUGACGAGUGGCGGACGGGUGAGUAAUGUCUGGGAAACUGCCUGAUGGAGGGGGAUAACUACUGGAAACGGUAGCUAAUACCGCAUAACGUCGCAAGACCAAAAAGGGGGACCUUCGGGCCUCUGGCCAUCGGAUGUGCCCAGAUGGGAUUAGCUAGUAGGUGGGGUAACGGCUCACCUAGGCGACGAUCCCUAGCUGGUCUGAGAGGAUGACCAGCCACCCUGGAACUGGGACACGGGCCAGACUCCUACGGGAGGCAGCAGUGGGGAAUAUUGCACAAUGGGCGCAAGCCUGAUGCAGCCAUGCCGCGUGUAUGAAGAAGGCCUUCGGGUUGUAAAGUACUUUCAGCGGGGAGGAAGGGAGUAAAGUUAAUACCUUUGCUCAUUGACGUUACCCGCAGAAGAAGCACCGGCUAACUCCGUG
rnacentral:rRNA from 1 species